rnacentral:misc_RNA from 1 species
GAUGAAGAACGCAGCGAAAUGCGAUACGUAAUGUGAAUUUCAGAAUUCAGUGAAUCAUCGAGUCUUUGAACGCACAUUGCGCCCCCUGGUAUUCCGGGGGGCAUGCCUGUCCGAGCGUCAUUGCUGCCCUCAAGCACGGCUUGUGUGUUGGGCCUCCGUCCUCCUCCCGGGGGACGGGCCCGAAAGGCAGCGGCGGCACCGCGUCCGGUCCUCGAGCGUAUGGGGCUUCGUCACCCGCUCUUGUAGGCCCGGCCGGCGCUUGCCGACACAUCAAUCUUUUUUCCAGGUUGACCUCGGAUCAGGUAGGGAUACCCGCUGAACUUAAGCAUAUCAAUAAGCGGACGA